AUGUGGACUACUGGGAGGAGUAGAUCAUUAUAUAAUCACUUUGGAGAUGCAAUAACUUCUGACACUACUUAUGGAACAAACAUCUACAAAAUGCCAUUUGGUAUGUUUGUAGGAGUUAGUAACCACUUUGAGAGUGUAAUAUUCGCUGGAGUGUUCUUGACUAAUGAGAAGGGAGAGAAUUUCUGUUGGGCUUUUAAGAAAUUUGUUGCUAUGAUGGGUGGAAAACACCCAGUAACUAUUCUUAUAGAUCAGGCUAGAGACAUUGGAAAUGCAGUCCGGAAAGUUUUCACUCAUGCAGAACAUAGAUGGUGCAAAUGGCAUGUUCUUAAGCGGGCUCAUGAACUUCUUGGUGCUGUCUAUAGCAAGCAGAAAACAUUUGCCGAUGAUUUCCAUAAGCUAGUGAACCACAUGCUAACUGUAGAAGAGUUUGAAUAUGCCUAG
rnacentral:rRNA from 1 species